rnacentral:rRNA from 1 species
CAAGGAGUCUAGCAUGUGCGCAAGUCAUUGGGAAUAUAUGGAUAAUAAACAAUGAAUCUAACAAAACCCAUAGGCGUAACGAAAGUGAAAUUGUAUAAACUUUUGGUUAAACAAAGGGAUUAUGCAAAUAGGGAAGAUAUAUUAGGAAAUAUUUAUUUAUUUACUAAUAUCGCACUCCCGAGGCGUUUCGAGAAAGCCUUCGUGUUAUUAUCGAAACGCACUGAGAGCGUACACGCUGGGACCCGAAAGAUGGUGAACUAUGCCUGG